GUCUAUAGAAAGGAACCCUGAAUGUGACCGAUCUCAUCUGAUUGUGGAAGCUAAGCAGGGUCAGGCCUGGUUAGUAUUUGGAUGGGAGACUCUGCCUCCUGAGGUUCUCAGUCUGGAAAAGAUAACAAUUAUUGUCA
rnacentral:rRNA from 1 species